AACGAACGCUGGCGGCAGGCCUAACACAUGCAAGUCGAACGAGAUCUUCGGAUCUAGUGGCGGACGGGUGAGUAACGCGUGGGAACGUGCCCUUCUCUACGGAAUAGUCCUGGGAAACUGGGUUUAAUACCGUAUACGCCCUUCGGGGUAAAGGAAUUUACGGGUAAGGGAGUCGGCCCGCGUUGGAUUAGGUAGUUGGUGGGGUAAGUGGCCUACCAAGCCGACGAUCCAUAGCUGGUUUGUAGAGGAUGAUCAGCCACACUGGGACUGAGACACGGCCCACGACUCCUACGGGAGGGCAGCAGUGGGGAAGUCUUAGACAAUGGGGGCGAACCCCUCGAUCUAGCCAUGCCGCGUGAGUGACGAAGGCCCUAGGGUCGUAAAGCUCUUUCGCCAGGGAUGAUAAUGACAGUACCUGG
rnacentral:rRNA from 1 species